rnacentral:rRNA from 1 species
GACGAAGGUGGCGAGCGUUGUUCGGAAUCAUUGGGCUUAAAGGGUGCGUAGGCGGCUCAUCAAGUGUCUUGUGAAAUCCCUCGGCUUAACCGGGGAAUGGCUAGGCAUACUGUUGAGCUUGAGGCAGGUAUGAGCGAGUGGAACUCUUGGUGGAGCGGUGGAAUGCGUAGAUAUCAAGAGGAACGCCGGUGGUGAAGACGAUUCGCUGGGCCUGUCCUGACGCUGAGGCACGAAAGCCAGGGGAGCAAACGGG